rfam:Desulfobacteraceae bacterium 4572_88 ex4572_88_scaffold_5077, whole genome shotgun sequence.
CAUGAUAUAUUCCUGCCAGUCCCUGCGUGGGCGUGCUUGCCACGCGCUGUGUGGUCGGUGCGAAGCCCCGCGGACAAUGUACCGAAUCUGGUUCAAACGGUGACGGGAGAACCCCUCGGAGAAUCCUCCUCCGUUAAGAGC